rnacentral:lncRNA from 1 species
UCUUGUUCACCUAAAAAAAAAAAAAAAAAAAAAGAAAGAAAAAGGAAAAAAGGCUGGAGAUACUCAAGUGUCUUUGCUUGAGUUCCCAUGGGAGGUUCACUAACCCCCGGAAUGACCUGUAGAGAUUUGCUGUGCUCAGACCAACAUCCCAAGCUGAUCAGGAGAAACACAUUCCCUCUCAACUUCAGAUGAGGGUGCCUGGACAAAGAUGAUGACGUCUGUAUGCCAGGGAUGUAAGAAGAAAGCCUUCUGUGGUGUUAUUUAUUGUAGCAACAGGCCCUGGCAACAGUUAGGCUCCAUGGUGAUAACGACUAACCAAGCUCCCAAGAAGAGACUAGGGCAUUCCUACUCCCUGGACUUGCAACAAGAAGCAGAUGGUCACAGUUUCACCAUGGGCUGCAAUAUUUCUAACAGGGUCACUGACGCACAGCUGUCUUCUGAGGAGCUACAGAACAACCAGGAAGCCAAAAGCCAGACUAAAAAUGACAGCGUUGCUGGAACGGAGGCUGUCCCCUCACAGGAUGGGGCAGCUGGGCCAACAGGCACUUCAAAGGAUGGAGACAAACUUGAAAAUGAGACCAGUGAAGCAGACUCCCCUGAGGAGCUACCAGGAAGAUUUAUAUCUUCUCAGAAGAGCAGCAAUGCACAAAGCACAGGUGAACAGUAACUGAAGUUUAUACUAGCUCCACAAAUGGAGACCUACAAGCAAAUAACCUUGGGAAUCUAUUGCUACAGCCAACUUCCAUACCCAGAAAUGUUCAUGCUGCAACACCACAAGGACUGAGCUCUUAGCACUGAUUUAAAACCAAGCAAUAGUAGCAGAAAGUAUUUCCUGCAGCAUGACUCAACCCUCACUACCAGAGCAGGCAGCAGGGUAGAUACUUUUCUUGGCAGAUGCCUGCAACAGAUCAAGGGAACAAACUCAGCCUUGUCCCCAGGGGCAGCCCUUCUCUAACUGAGAUUAUGGCACAUUCACAUUGGGAAGAGGUAUUGCCUACACCAGGGCCGUCAGUCUGCCCUUACGACGAGUCAGUUUUUACAACAGAACGGUCAAUAUAUCGCUCCUGACUAGCAUCAGGUAGAGACAGUGAGUAAAUACCACGUUAUUCUGCAAGUUUGUAGUCAAAAGCUGCAGGGCCAGUUAUCAUACAGCAAAAGCUAUAAAAAUUCCAGAAAUCAUCAUAAAGAUAAGCAAAGGUCUGCUAAGAAUUUUUAAAUUUUUUUAAGUGAAUACUUAACCCCAAACUUUUCUAUAAUCGUAGGAUACCAUUAUAGUAAGAGUUACGAAUGGAAAAGCAGCACCAUCUUUGGCACAUUUAACCCCCCUAAUUUUGUAGUUUAAUUCUCGUAUUUUUCAAGUGCCACAAACAGCUUACAUUUCACAAACACACUAAAUGGAAAAUCUACAGUAGUUGUUUACUCUUUGUAAUAAACAAAGGUUGUAAUAAAAUAUUUCA